GAUGAACGCUAGCGGCAGGCCUAAUACAUGCAAGUCGAACGGUGAUAGCAAUAUCAUAGUGGCGCACGGGUGCGUAACACGUAUGCAACCUACCUAUUAUUGGGGGAUAGCCUUUGGAAACGGAGAUUAAUACCGCAUAAUACGAUUGACUGGCAUCGGUUGAUCGUUAAAGCUUCGGCAAUAAUAGAUGGGCAUGCGUCCAAUUAGUUAGUUGGUGAGGUAAUGGCUCACCAAGACGAUGAUUGGUAGGGGAUCUGAGAGGAUAAUCCCCCACACGGGCACUGAGAUACGGGCCAGACUCCUACGGGAGGCAGCAGUAGGGAAUAUUGGGCAAUGGAGGGAACUCUGACCCAGCCAUGCCGCGUGCAGGAAGAAGGCGUUAUGCGUUGUAAACUGCUUUUUUAUAGGAAGAAGGAUCUCUUGCGAGAGAAGGUGACGGUACUAUAAGAAUAAGCACCGGCUAACUCCGUGCCAGCCGCCGCCGUAAAAC
rnacentral:rRNA from 1 species